CAACCCUCACGCCCCGCGUGGUCUUGGGCCUAGCCUCUGGGCUGGCCUCAAAAGCAGUGGCGGUGCCUCUGGGUCCUGAGCGUAGUAACACUUCCGCUACAGGGCCCUGGGAGCGCUGGCCAAACCCCAAAUCUUCA
rnacentral:misc_RNA from 1 species